ACUCAAAUGAAUUGACGGGGGACCGCACAAGCGGUGGAGCAUGUGGUUUAAUUCGAUAUGAAGCGAAAAACCUUACCUGGGUUUGACAUGUUAGCGUUCUAUUUUCCGGAAACGGAAGAAAUCCGCAAGGAGGCUAUCACAGGUGCUGCAUGGCUGUCGUCAGCUCGUACCGUGAAGCGUACCCUUAAGUGGGUCAACGAGCGCAACCCUUACCGUUUGUUGAAUAUUCAAACGGAACUGCCCCUUUUGGGGGAGGAAGGCGAGGAAGACGUCAAGUCAGCACGGCCCUUAUACCCAGGGCUACACACAUCCUACAAUGGCGAAAAACAACGAGUUGCAAGUUGGUAACGACAAGCUAAUCUCUGAAAUUUCGCCUCAGUUCAGAUUGAGGGCUGAAACCUGCCCUCAUGAAGUUGAAAUCGCUAGUAAUCGCGGAUCAGAAGGCCGCGGUGAAUACGUUCUCGGUCCUUGUACACACCGCCCGU
rnacentral:rRNA from 1 species